UCCCAGUCAGCCACCAGUCCAUCACCAUCGCCUCGAGCUCAGCUUUUUCCACUCCCACACAUGAGUGAGAUCCUGAGAUGUUUGUCUUCCUGUGCCUGGCUUAUUUCCCCAAUUCCUCCAGGCUCACCCAUGCAGCUGAAAUGACAGGAUUCCUUUCUUUUCUGGCUGAAUAGCAUCCACUGUGCCUGCGCACCACAUUUUCCUUAUCCGUGCAUCCGCUGAUGGCCACUGAGGUGGAUUCCAGAUCUUGGCCGUCGUGAAUACUGCUGCAAUGAACAGGGACAUGCAGGAUUAGAUGUUCCCUGUGAAAAGGUGGCUGUGAAUGAAGGGAAGUCAGGGGAAGUCACAGACUCUCCGGCCUUGGGCCACGCAUCAGAGGCCAGGAGCCCCACAGGGACAUUGGGGCUCCCAGUGGCUGGCAGCUGGGCUGCUGAGGGCUCACAGCCAGGCCUCUCUCCAUGAACUGCUCUCAACCAGAUGCCCCCGGCCCAUGCCAGUGCCCUUCCCAGGGACAUGACCCACCCCAUGACUGGUCUAAGAGGGGCAUGAGGCUCUCCCACUGGCCCCUUAAGGGACCACCCUGUGGGGCCCUCCAGUCCCAGAGCGGCCUGGGGGUUCCACAGAGGCCUUGCUUGCAACUGUGUGGCAUCCAGACACACGACAUCUGGGCUUCGCCACCCCAGCAUCGUGCUCCUUCACUCACCCCCUGCCCCAAAUCCCCGCAGCUGUCACAGCCAGAGGGCAGGAGUCGGGGCUCCUCAGGCCAGGCCUGGGGGCCCUCCCACUCUCCCUCAGAAGAGGGCCCCUGAGCCAGAGCUGUUCCCAUGGGGCGGAGCAGAGGAAGGAGUAGCUGCACACACUGAGGGGUGAAGAGAGAGGAGAGCCUGGCCGGUCAGUCCUGGAGACGCCAGGGUGGAGACCAGGGCAGAGCCUGGAGGGACUGCAGGGGGGCCCUUCCCAGUCUCUCCGCACCAAGGUGGCAUCCAGUCUUCUCACCCUGAGCUCGUGAGCACUCCAGGAGGCGGCUCUGCACACUCCAGGCUCACCUCUGACCGCUGCAGCCAGGUGCUGGCCCAUUAUCCAGAGCAGGAGCCAGAGACAGAGGCAAAGUCCAGGUAAGGCUGCUGUCCCCAGGCCCAGGCACGGCACCCACACAAGUCCCCAGGGCCCCUCACUCCCCUGCAGGGUCCUGACCAGACCCUGACCUGAUGCAUGCCCUUCAGGCUCUAGGCACAGACUUGGGGUACAAACCCAGCCCAGUCUAGGCACAGACUUGGGGUGCAAACCCAGCCCGGUCAUCUGCCCGGGAGCCCUGACGGCCUCCUCAGCUCUGUGUAGCCCCCAGCACCUGCACACCCCAGCACGGACUGGGGCAGACAGAAGUCGGUUCAAAUGCUCCAUCCAGCCAUGUGGCCACAGGGACCUUCCUUCCCCUCUUGGAGCCUGAGCUUCCUCUGCUGGAAAGUGGGAUGGCAGCCGCAGGGAUCGCAGCCAUGAGGAGCAGCACCUCACGGAGCACUGGGGCCGGAGCCGCUCCACGCCCUCACCUUCACUCCCGCGCAGCUUGAGAGGCAGCCAGAGUUCUCAGGGCAGCCGUGAGGCUCCACCAGGAAGUGCACUGUUGUCUCCAUUCUCUUUAAGCAGCCAGUGUUUGCAGAAUGCUAGUGCUGGGCAGGGGCCAGUAAGGGGAUGCCAGGCCUCCUGCUACGGCACAGCUUCCUGCUCUGGGACCCCACAUCCCUCCCCUCCCCAGCCCCCGACCAUCCCUGCUGCCCACCUCACAGCCUCCCACACCUGCAGCCUUCAGCCCUCGUCCUUAUGGAGGAGGCCAGGCCCUGCGCUUCUGUGGAGAGACAGCCUCGAGGCCUCUCUCCUCCCUGGGUGUGUCCAUCAGGCCUGACCUGGACUUUCCCAAGCAGGGCAGGAGCUGGCGGAGGCUGCGAGUUUCUGCGUGUGCCUCAGGCCAGUGUUUCCUGGGGCAAUGCAGCUCUCAGCAACCUGCUGACAUCUUUCUUACCUCUGGUCUUUUACCGGUUUUGCAAACUUUGUCUCCAAAGUUUUGGUCAAAAGAAGAGAAAGAAGAGAGUGAGAUGUUCAGCAGACAUCUGAACACCUUGGAGUGGCAAGAGGGAGGGAGGAUGAAGUAACAAAUUCUCUCUUGGCCGGAUCCUGAUGGGGCUGAGCGAUUUCUUUCCUUGGAGGAACCUGAAGUCCUUGGGAGUCUCUUUGAGACUCUUCUGGGGCAAUAUGGGGUUGUAUUUAAUUGACACUUGGAAAUCCUGGAUAGAUCUACACGUGUCUGUAGACGUGGUGGUACGUGUAUACACACACAGUGCACAUGCCCACACACGCAUCUCCAUUCACGAAGUCAUGCGUCUGUGUAGACACACAAAUGCACGCACAUGCCCGUGCACUGGACAUGCAGAAAUCACCAGGCUCUUGCACGCCACUGUGUGUGGUUCCUAAUUCCAUGUGUCUGGAUCUAGUGGUCACGUGAUUUUCAACAUCCUUAAAGUCACAUCAAAUUCCAGGCUCCUAACCACAUCCAAGUUUGGCCACACCGGUGAGGCCACGCUCAGCCCCUCCAUGGCUGCUCCCUGGGACCCAGUUCCAAAAGCCCAGUGGGGGGUGCAGGGGAUCCUCUGGGCUGGGCGUGAGGGCGCCUUUCUGAGCCCAGCCCCACCCCCUAGGUGCUAAGGGGCACCAAGCCAGCCCCAGCAUCUGAAUGAGACCCUGUGAAGAGCUGAGUCUGCUGGUGAACAUUUCUGCUAAUUUCUGCUAAUGAGACUUAAAUGAGGUGAAGGAUUUGAUGUUCAUUUUUAUUUAUAAAAGGCCACGAAUAAAGAAGAACAGGGGGAGUGAGGACAUUCAGGUGCCCAGGGACCGCUCGGCCCGUCAGGCCAAGUCCCUCCCAUUUCCGGGAGGUUCUGCAGGCGCCUGGGGCCUCCUCUCACUCCUGGGCAGGACUCAGUCUGAAGAGGUCGGCGCUGUGGCUCCAUUCGCUGCAAACCGUAGCGUUUGAAACGCCCAACUCCUUAUUCAAAACCAUUUUUUUUGAACAUGCACUCUCAUCUCUAUUUUAUUUCCUGACAUAAUUACAGUUACAAUAUAGGAAUAACUUGUUUAAUUCAUCAGGCCGCUGGAAACAGCUUCUUCCGGAUGCAGUCGCUGCCUUUGCCCCCCACCCCCCGCUUCCGUUUUAAUAAAUCCAGCCGCACGAUCA